UACCAGCACCCCGAGUGGUCGGGACGAUUAUUGGGCCUAAAGCAUCCGUAGCCGGCCUUACAAGUCCCCCGUUAAAUCCAACUGCUUAACAGAUGGGCUGCGGAGGAUACUAUAAGACUAGGAGGCAGGAGAGGCAAGCGGUACUCAGUGGGUAGGGGUAAAAUCCGUUGAUCCAUUGAAGACCACCAGUGGCGAAGGCGGCAUCCUGGACCGGCAUUGACGCUGAGGCGCGAAAGCCAGGGGAGCAAACGGG
rnacentral:rRNA from 1 species